AACCGGGAUUGCCUUAGUAACGGCGAGUGAAGCGGCAAAAGCUCAAAUUUGAAAUCUGGUACCUUCGGUGCCCGAGUUGUAAUUUGGAGAGGGCAACUUUGGGGCCGUUCCUUGUCUAUGUUCCUUGGAACAGGACGUCAUAGAGGGUGAGAAUCCCGUGUGGCGAGGAGUGCGGUUCUUUGUAAAGUGCCCUCGAAGAGUCGAGUUGUUUGGGAAUGCAGCUCUAAGUGGGUGGUAAAUUCCAUCUAAAGCUAAAUAUUGGCGAGAGACCGAUAGCGAACAAGUACAGUGAUGGAAAGAUGAAAAGAACUUUGAAAAGAGAGUGAAAAAGUACGUGAAAUUGUUGAAAGGGAAGGGCAUUUGAUCAGACAUGGUGUUUUGUGCCCUCUGCUCCUUGUGGGUAGGGGAAUCUCGCAUUUCACUGGGCCAGCAUCAGUUUUGGUGGCAGGAUAAAUCCAUAGGAAUGUAGCUUGCCUCGGUAAGUAUUAUAGCCUGUUGGGAAUACUGCCAGCUGGGACUGANGACUGCGACGUAAGUCAAGGAUGCUGGCAUAAUGGUUAUAUGCCGCCCC
rnacentral:rRNA from 1 species